UAAACAGCAUCAAUAAAGGGGAAGAACACACAGUAAACCCAAGGAGAGAAAGUGUUGGGGAUCUUUUUGGUUCGACAAUUACAACACAAAUUACUAUGAUUCCUUCUUCCAUUAUCAUUCAUUCAUCCGACAAUUACUUUUCCCGAUUUGUCUUCUUCCACUUCCUUCAAUCCCCUAAACCCUAAAAAUCGACCUCACAAAUCCCAUCGUGUGGCCGCAAAUCCGCGCCUGUUUUUGUCCUUCUUUUCUUCCGUGCAUUUCCGGAUUCAAAUCAUGUGCAUCUUCUUGAUCUCUCUCUUUAAUGGGUCCCCUGUUCGAUUCUGUAAUGCAAUCAUGGAAUUUCUUGAAGAUUAGUGUUCUUCGCUUUGAUCCUUCCAGUUCUCCCCGAAGUGAUCGUUCAUGCAGCGGAUUGAUGUCGUUGUAUGACGUUUCAACAGAGUCUACGUCGGGUAGACAUGAAAUUGCUACAGGGAGAUACGACCGGUCGUCAACUCCUCCCACCUAAUUGAAAUCACUUACCUCACAUACUCACAUCUUGAAGUAGCAGAGCUUGAUAAUGAAUAAGUAAGUAGUAAGGUCGUCCUGCAACAUAAUCUAGGAUCCCUUCACCUGCUGCUCUUACACCAUGAAUUUCGGUUCCAACUUGGAAACCACCUGGAAAGGCAGCGAUCAUUCCGACCAAGAGUGCAGCUGUGGAGGCAAAGAGAAGCCAAAAGAACGCUAGAAACAAUGUCAGAACCACUGAAACUGCUGCUACAACAGUUAUUUGGUCUUUGUUUUGGAGAACCUUUGUUUGAACGUCCAUGGAGAUUGAGAAACAGAAACAGAGAGGAAUGGCUAUGAGUGAUGAUGAUGCUUUACUGCAAAACAUUGUAUUGAUCAUGAGUUUCAAAACUUGGUUCAUCAGCUUCUUAUUUUGCAUAUAGUCCGUUAUUGUGAAAAUACUGAAAUACCCUUGUACAGUCAGUAGAUAUUUUUGUGGGGGAGUUGAAGGAGAGGGGGAGACAGAGGGGUUAAUGAGUCAAAAAGACAGGGAACAACUGGAAACGUGGGGACAAGGAUGCUUGAUCAGAUUGCUGUCUGUUUGCUUGAUUGGUCGGUUGCCUUGUCCCUUCAGAGAAGUAAUCACUUUAUUUCCAUAUGGAUUGCUGGGUAUUAUUGAGGAAAAGAAUGACAUCUUUUCUCUUCUUGUGUAUAUCUAAUCCUUU